AUUGAACGCUGGCGGCAUGCCUUACACAUGCAAGUCGAACGGUAACAGGUUAAGCUGACGAGUGGCGAACGGGUGAGUAAUGUAUCGGAACGUGCCCAGUCGUGGGGGAUAACUUCUCGAAAGAGCAGCUAAUACCGCAUACGACCUGAGGGUGAAAGCGGGGGAUCGCAAGACCUCGCGCGAUUGGAGCGGCCGAUAUCAGAUUAGGUAGUUGGUGAGGUAAAGGCUCACCAAGCCGACGAUCUGUAGCUGGUCUGAGAGGACGACCAGCCACACUGGGACUGAGACACGGCCCAGACUCCUACGGGAGGCAGCAGUGGGGAAUUUUGGACAAUGGGCGCAAGCCUGAUCCAGCCAUGCCGCGUGCGGGAAGAAGGCCUUCGGGUUGUAAACCGCUUUUGUCAGGGAAGAAAAGGUUCUGGCUAAUACCUGGGACUCAUGACGGUACCUGAAGAAUAAGCACCGGCUAACUACGUG
rnacentral:rRNA from 1 species